GUCUCGGUGGCGCAAUUGGUAAGCUUGCCCUUCAACACUUCAAUAUCAUCAAUCAGUUACUAACUCAAUAUAACAGGUUAGCGCGUACGACUGUUAAUCGUGAGGUUGAGAGUUCGAUCCUCUCCCGGGACG
rnacentral:tRNA from 1 species